GGAGGAGGAAACCACCGAGAGGAAGGAAACGAGGAUCACGUCACGAAGACUCGGAGUAAAACGGGCUGAACGGUGUUUAAUGGACGAUCCUUGAUGCGGGCCGGGGACGGAGCUGCUGGGGCCGAGCCGUGUCUGCCGGACAAAGAUGGUUCUGUUAACUUGCCGGGCGUGAAAAAGCGAGGAGACGCGUUUUGGGAGAGGUAGAGGACAGCGAGAGCGCAGCAGCGGGCUGAUUUCAUCCUUUUCCAGGAGGCUCCAGUACAGCAGAGAAAUGGAAAUGUGUGUAGCCCUCCUCCUCCUCCACCUUUUGCCUGUUUACUGACGGAUUUGAGCCUGGUCGUGACACACAGAACUUUGAGUGGAUUUCCUCCCAACUUCCAUUUGAAUGCGCGAAAAGGACAUUUAGUGAAACCCUCCACGGGAUUUCUGUGGACCGUUUGCUUUCAGUUCAGUUUUUUUUUUCUUUUCUUUUUUUUUCUUUUUUUUUUUUUUUGAACGUCAGGGGGGAAAAAAACCAUCCAGAUCGUCGUGAGAAUUAACAGGUGACGGCCCGGAUCAGUUCAAAAUGAGCGAGCUGGAGCAGCUUCGUCAGGAGGCCGAGCAGCUGAGGAACCAGAUCAGAGAUGCCAGGAAAGCAUGUGGAGAUUCAACCCUGACACAGAUAACUGCGGGGUUGGAUCCCGUGGGUCGUAUUCAGAUGCGAACGAGACGUACGCUCCGCGGUCACCUCGCCAAGAUCUACGCCAUGCACUGGGGCUCGGACUCCAGUAGACUUUUGGUGAGCGCCUCUCAAGAUGGGAAGCUGAUCAUCUGGGACAGCUACACCACUAACAAGAUACACGCCAUCCCCCUGCGCUCCUCCUGGGUCAUGACGUGCGCGUACGCCCCCUCUGGGAACUACGUGGCCUGCGGCGGCCUCGACAACAUCUGCUCCAUCUACUGCUUGAAGACGCGCGAGGGCAACGUCCGGGUCAGCAGGGAGCUACCUGGCCACACAGGUUACCUGUCAUGUUGCCGUUUCAUUGAUGACAAUCAAAUCAUCACCAGUUCAGGAGACACCACAUGUGCACUGUGGGACAUCGAGACGAGUCAGCAGACCACCGUGUUCUCGGGCCACUCCGGCGACGUCAUGAGCCUGUCCCUGUCGCCCGACCUGCGCACCUUCGUGUCGGGGGCGUGCGACGCGUCGGUCAAACUGUGGGACAUCAGGGACAGCAUGUGCCGGCAGACCUUCACGGGGCACGAGUCGGACAUCAACGCCAUCUGCUUCUUUCCCAACGGCAGCGCCUUCGCCACGGGCUCCGACGACGCCACCUGCAGGCUGUUCGACCUGCGCGCGGACCAGGAGCUCAGCAUCUAUUGCCAUGACAACAUCAUCUGCGGCAUCACGUCGGUGGCGUUCUCGCGCUCGGGCCGCCUGCUGCUGGCCGGCUACGACGACUUCAACUGCAACAUCUGGGACGCCAUGAAGGGAGACAGAGCAGGAGUCCUGGCCGGCCAUGACAAUCGUGUGAGCUGUCUGGGCGUGACGGACGACGGCAUGGCGGUGUGCACCGGGUCCUGGGACAGCUUCCUGAAGAUCUGGAACUGAGCCAUGCACAUGAAACACACACACACACACACACACACACACACACACACACACACACACACACACACACACACACACACAUACUGUACAAUGUGACCAAAUACAGUUGAAUCUCCAGCUGCUUAAAGAAAAAAAGAAGAAGAAAAAAACAGCCCCACACAUAAAUACCACUGUUACCUGAAGCCUUUUAACACAUCUGACAUGCUCAUUCACACACACACCGCUUUUCCUAAGAGACACUGCUCCUCAAGUUAAGCCGAGGAGAGGACAUUAUUGGACAAUUCUGUCUUUGUUUACAAUGAAGUCCAAAACGCACUUCAGACUUUUUUUUUUUUCUCUAUUUUUGUCCCAGUACCAUACUUAUCUCUGCUACGGUAAUGUGAAGGAAGAAUCAUGUGAGUCCAUUAACACUGAGAAGAAGAAAAAAAAAA